rnacentral:miRNA from 1 species
UGACUAGAGUGCUGAGCUCUCC